ACCAGACUCCUACGGGAGGCAGCAGUGGGGGAUAUUGCACAAUGGGGGGAACCCUGAUGCAGCGACGCCGCGUGGGUGAAGGAGCGUUUCGGCGCGUAAAGCCCUAUCGGCAGGGAAGAAGGAGGACGGUACCUGACUAAGAAGCCCCGGCUAACUACGUGCCAGCAGCCGCGGUAAUACGUAGGGGGCAAGCGUUAUCCGGAUUCACUGGGUGUAAAGGGAGCGUAGACGGCGGCGCAAGUCUGGAGUGAAAGCCCGGGGCCCAACCCCGGGACUGCUCUGGAAACUGCGGCGCUGGAGUACGGGAGGGGCAGGCGGAAUUCCUGGUGUAGCGGUGAAAUGCGUAGAGAUCGGGAGGAACACCAGUGGCGAAGGCGGCCUACUGGGCUUUAACUGACGCUGAGGCACGAAAGCGUGGGUAGCAAACAGGAUUAGAUACCCCAGUAGG
rnacentral:rRNA from 1 species